rnacentral:ncRNA from 1 species
CAAAACGCAUUGAUUAGGAGUAGUAAAAGCUCAUUAUUUGGUCUAGAGAGCUGCGGGGUGGUGCAACGCAGUCCAAUAAUACUUUGAACUUGCCUAUGAGUGGUAAAGUGAAAUGAAUAGACAGACUAUUCUUUUUACUUUAACGUUUAACCUUCGUUACCAGGUUUUUAAAGUUGGGUUCAUGAAUUAGAACCAAUAAGAGUGGUACCGCGGUUUGCAUAAGGCAUAUCGUCUCUUCU